rnacentral:rRNA from 1 species
GUCCACGCCGUAAACAAUGGGCACUAGUUAUUGUAGGUAUAAACUCCUGCGGUGACGCAGCUAACGCAUUAAGUGCCCCGCCUGGGGAGUACGGUCGCAAGAUUAAACUCAAAGGAAUUGACGGGGCCCGCACAAGCGGUGGAUUAUGUGGUUUAAUUCGAAGCAACGCGCAGAACCUUACCUGGGCUUGAACUCCCUCGAAUUUGGUAGAAGUAUCGAAGUGCCCGCAAGGGAAUGAGGUGAGAGGUGCUGCAUGGCUGUCGU